GGGGUUGUGGCUCAGUGGGAGAGCACUCACCUUGAGUGUGUGGGGCCCUGGGUUCAAUCCUCAGCACCA
rnacentral:tRNA from 1 species